rnacentral:rRNA from 1 species
GACGAACGCUGGCGGCGUGCCUAAUACAUGCAAGUAGAACGCUGAAGAGAGGAGCUUGCUCUUCUUGGAUGAGUUGCGAACGGGUGAGUAACGCGUAGGUAACCUGCCUUGUAGCGGGGGAUAACUAUUGGAAACGAUAGCUAAUACCGCAUAACAAUGGAUGACACAUGUCAUUUAUUUGAAAGGGGCAAUUGCUCCACUACAAGAUGGACCUGCGUUGUAUUAGCUAGUAGGUGAGGUAACGGCUCACCUAGGCGACGAUACAUAGCCGACCUGAGAGGGUGAUCGGCCACACUGGGACUGAGACACGGCCCAGACUCCUACGGGAGGCAGCAGUAGGGAAUCUUCGGCAAUGGGGGCAACCCUGACCGAGCAACGCCGCGUGAGUGAAGAAGGUUUUCGGAUCGUAAAGCUCUGUUGUAAGUCAAGAACGAGUGUGAGAGUGGAAAGUUCACACUGUGACGGUAGCUUACCAGAAAGGGACGGCUAACUACGUGCCAGCAGCCGCGGUAAUACGUAGGUCCCGAGCGUUGUCCGGAUUUAUUGGGCGUAAAGCGAGCGCAGGCGGUUUGAUAAGUCUGAAGUUAAAGGCUGUGGCUCAACCAUAGUUCGCUUUGGAAACUGUCAAACUUGAGUGCAGAAGGGGAGAGUGGAAUUCCAUGUGUAGCGGUGAAAUGCGUAGAUAUAUGGAGGAACACCGGUGGCGAAAGCGGCUCUCUGGUCUGUAACUGACGCUGAGGCUCGAAAGCGUGGGGAGCGAACAGGAUUAGAUACCCUGGUAGUCCACGCCGUAAACGAUGAGUGCUAGGUGUUGGAUCCUUUCCGGGAUUCAGUGCCGCAGCUAACGCAUUAAGCACUCCGCCUGGGGAGUACGACCGCAAGGUUGAAACUCAAAGGAAUUGACGGGGGCCCGCACAAGCGGUGGAGCAUGUGGUUUAAUUCGAAGCAACGCGAAGAACCUUACCAGGUCUUGACAUCCCGAUGCUAUUUCUAGAGAUAGAAAGUUACUUCGGUACAUCGGUGACAGGUGGUGCAUGGUUGUCGUCAGCUCGUGUCGUGAGAUGUUGGGUUAAGUCCCGCAACGAGCGCAACCCCUAUUGUUAGUUGCCAUCAUUCAGUUGGGCACUCUAGCGAGACUGCCGGUAAUAAACCGGAGGAAGGUGGGGAUGACGUCAAAUCAUCAUGCCCCUUAUGACCUGGGCUACACACGUGCUACAAUGGUUGGUACAACGAGUUGCGAGUCGGUGACGGCAAGCUAAUCUCUUAAAGCCUAUCUCAGUUCGGAUUGUAGGCUGCAACUCGCCUACAUGAAGUCGGAAUCGCUAGUAAUCGCGGAUCAGCACGCCGCGGUGAAUACGUUCCCGGGCCU